rnacentral:piRNA from 1 species
AUGCAGAGAAUUCUGGACCUUGAGGACAAA